rnacentral:tRNA from 1 species
GCAUGGCUCAGUGAUAGACCAUCUCUUUUGCCUACAGAAGGUCCCAGGUUCAAUCCCUGGCAUCUCUCG